rnacentral:RNase_P_RNA from 2 species
AUCACAAGCCAACUUAUCGCCCUGACUUGUCGGGGAGGAAAGUCCGGGCACCAAAGGGAAGCAUAGCGGCUAACAGCCGUCUCCCCGACUUGUCGGGGAAGGACAAGUGCAACAGAAAGAAUGUACAGGUAAUGCUGUAGUGAAAUCAGGUAAACUCUAUGCGGUGAAAUGCCAUGUAAGCUUGCGUUUGAGAGUUCCCGCUCGAUGUAAGUGGGUAGGCAGAUUGAUCUCUUGAGUAAUUAAGAGACUAGAUAAAUGAUAAGAACUUCUCGAUUAGUCGAGAUAUGACAGAACCCGGCUUAUCGGCUUGUUUUUAAA